AUGCUCCCAUCAGCAGCACAUAUCCUAAAACUAGAACCAUAGGAAGAUUAGCAUGGUCUCUGAACAUGACAUGCAAAUUGGAGCAGCACUGCAUAUUUUA
rnacentral:snRNA from 1 species